UUAAUGAGCACAGGCACAGGAGACACAGGACCGGAGUGCAGAUGUGCGGAGCUCACGGAAGGUGUGGCCCGUGCCUUCCACAUGCAUAUUUAAAUCCUUCAAUUACACGGCCUUAAGGCUGCUAUUAGAGAGCGACCUCGCAGAGAGGAAGAAUUGCACGGAGAAAUGAGGCCUGACACAUUUCUUCAAACAGAGAGCUGAGAAGAAGAGAAGGAAAAGCCCGGGUUACUCACGAUUCUUUUCACCUCUCCACCUUGACCCCGCUUUUAUUCUAGGCGCGAUGUCCACGGCAGCAGAUAAGUCUAUUAGCCCAAGCAGCAGCAGCAGUGACAGCACAGCCAUGCCAGGGAAAUCAACACAAAUGAUACCACCUCCCACUCGGGUUUCUGUCAGCAGAUGCUGCAUAAAUGGAGCAGUGCAUCGGCGCUAACCAAGCCUGCUCAGAAGUGAGGUGUUGCCUGGAAGAGGUGCAAAGGAGAAGGUAGCUGAGCUGAGAACUGUGCCAACCCUAGUGAACAACUGAUGGUGAGAAAGCCAG